CGGUAAGCUCUUCUCGCCAGUUCGCAGAAAGCUUCAUUUGCUCAAGGGAAUUUUCCUAGAACUCUUCCCUGUGCACUAGUGCCAACUAAAAAGCCACUCCCUAGGAUGCUGUCCCUGGUCACCAGAGAGAAGAUCAGUGUCCGCCCCUUCUUUGCGCCUCACGGAGAAGCUGGAGACCAAGAGUGCUACCAGCACGUCACGGAGGCAUUUUGUUGUUUUCCUCCUGGUGGCACUGCAGGAUAACACUGUGGUCCUUGGGGCCCUGUACUGCAGCUGCAUCAUUUAAGAUGCUGGGACAUCUUCUUGCUGACACAAGUUCUGUUAUGCUUGACUUGAGGACCAGUACAACACCCUUACUCCAUGACAACCUAUAACUUAUUUGAUGGGACCUAUGUUGGAUGAUUUUCUCCUCUUAAAAAGGAAAGAGCUUCGGACAGCUUAUGAACUGUAAACAAAUCAGACACACCAAUGAGAGUGUAAAAAAUCUCAAAAAAGCCUGACAUAUGACUGCUAAAUUCUUGAAAACUCUGCUCAAAGGAUGGUUUUCACUCAGACACAUCCACUUGUAUCCUUUAGAAUGUCCAGCAAGUACUGUGACUUUUGAUUGACUAUAUUGUAUGGUUCAUAUGGAAAAAGAAUGGAAGAUUUCUACUUGGAAACAUGAUUGUUCCCUUCAGGAAGAACAUGGAGCUGCCUCCAGUACUGCCCUCAUCAGUAUACUUUCCAGUUAUUACUGAUACUGUGUAUUUUGGCAGCCUUUGCCUCAAGUCACUUAUGAUCUGUUCAGUUACAUGGUGUGCAGACUAAAAACAUCCAGUCAUAGUCCUCGGAGGGAGCUUGGAAUGAAAAUAUUAAUCUUCAAACCCAGAUUUUAUAUGUGAAUCUCAUUAUGUGUUAAUUAAUUUGAAAAUACUGCCUCUCUGGUCAGCAGAAAUAUACCUUACCUAUUAAUUUACAAUGUAGUUAAGACUGAUAGAAACUAUCCUUUGAGAAAACAUGAUGCACUAGGGAGUUGCCCUGAAUGAAGUAAGAAGUAGCUGAAAUUACCAAUUAUAUCAUGAAUGUAAUUCAGAAGGAUUACUAGCCAUUUGCUUUCCAUGGAAAAAUCUGUCCCCAGGCUCAAUCCCCACACCCAUGUCUGUGUGCUCAGCCAGCCCAAGGCACUCCAGGG